rnacentral:rRNA from 1 species
GUCUAUAGCCAUGACACCUUGAAUGCGCCCAAUCAUGUCUGAUCUUGGAAGCUAAGCAGGGUUGGGCCUGGUUAGUAUUUGAAUGGGAGACCACCUAAGAAUACCAGGUGCUGUAGGCG